UACGGGGGGGGCAAGCGUUGUUCGGAAUUACUGGGCGUAAAGGGCUCGUAGGUGGCCAACUAAGUCAUACGUGAAAUCCCUCGGCUUAACCGGGGAACUGCGUGUGAUACUGGAUGGCUUGAGUUCGGGAGAGGGAUGCGGAAUUCCAGGUGUAGCGGUGAAAUGCGUAGAUAUCGGGAGGAACACCAAUUGCGAAGGCAGCUCGCUGGGACGUUACUGACGCUGAGACGCGAAAGCGUGGGGAGCAAACAGG
rnacentral:rRNA from 1 species